UACGUAGGGAGCAAGCGUUGUCCGGAAUUAUUGGGCGUAAAGAGCGUGUAGGCGGCCAGACAGGUCCGUUGUGAAAACUCGAGGCUCAACCUCGAGACGUCGAUGGAAACCGUCUGGCUAGAGUCCGGAAGAGGAGAGUGGAAUUCCUGGUGUAGCGGUGAAAUGCGCAGAUAUCAGGAAGAACACCUAUGGCGAAGGCAGCUCUCUGGGACGGUACUGACGCUGAGACGCGAAAGCGGGGGGAGCGAACAGG
rnacentral:rRNA from 1 species